UACAGAGGUCUCAAGCGUUGUUCGGAUUCAUUGGGCGUAAAGGGUGCGUAGGCGGCGCGGUAAGUCGGGUGUGAAAUCUCGGAGCUUAACUCCGAAACUGCAUUCGAUACUGCCGUGCUUGAGGACUGGAGAGGAGACUGGAAUUUACGGUGUAGCGGUGAAAUGCUUAGAUAUGACAUAGAACACCGAUAGCGUAGGCAGCUUGCUACACGAAUAUUGACACUGAGGCACGAAAGCGUGGGGAUCAAACAGG
rnacentral:rRNA from 1 species